GACGAACGCUGGCGGCGUGCCUAAUACAUGCAAGUCGAACGCAGUGGGGACGGGUGAGUAACACCUGGGUAACCUCCCAUAAGACUGGAUAACACUUGGCAACAGGUGCUAAACCGAUACUGAUGGAUGGACUCGCGGUGCAGUAGCCAGUUGGUGAGGUAACGGCUCACCAAGGCCACGAUGCAUAGCUGACCUGAGAGGGUGAUCAGCCACACUGGGACUGAGACACGGCCCAGACUCCGACGGGAGGCAGCAGUAGGGAAUAUUCGGCAAUGGACGAAAGUCUGACCGAGCAACGCCGCGUGAGUGAAGAAGGUUUUCGGGUCGUAAAACUCUGUUGUUAGAGAAGCGGUAUCUAACCAGAAAGCCACGGCUAACUACGUGCCAGCAGCCGCGGUAAUAC
rnacentral:rRNA from 1 species